UACGUAGGGCGCAAGCGUUGUCCGGAAUUAUUGGGCGUAAAGAGCUCGUAGGUGGUUUGUUACGUCUGCUGUGAAAACCUAGGGCUUAACCCUGGGCCUGCAGUGGAUACGGGCAGACUAGAGGUAGGUAGGGGAGAAUGGAAUUCCCGGUGUAGCGGUGAAAUGCGCAGAUAUCGGGAGGAACACCGGUGGCGAAGGCGGCGAUCUGGGAAGAUACUGACGCUGAGGUGCGAAAGCGUGGGGAGCAAACAGG
rnacentral:rRNA from 1 species